rnacentral:misc_RNA from 1 species
AGAUUUCUCGUGCACUUCAUACCAAAAUAAGCAGCACAGUAACAGUAUCGCACCACUUCAGCAAUUCUCAAUGUGGCUACUUCUUUGGCAACAUGUUAUAGCAAGUCUAUUACAGAGUUCGGAUAAAUGUAGAGCACAAACAAGGACAGCUAAACCCUUGCUUUGCCUCAGAAACAACAAAAAAAUAUAUUUUCUUCUAAACAUUUACUCGUAGAUAACAGGAAAACAAAACUUUCUAAUAAUGUGCCCUUCGGUGUUCUGUGCAUUUGCUAGUCCUUUGCAUCCGCAAUCCCCCCUGGUGUAAUCUGAAAUACUGCUUCAGCCUCAGGCAGAUUUGGAGCGUCAAACACCUUGCAGAUGCGUUGUUCACCUUUGCCUUUCCUGAACAUCAACCUGAUUGUGGCUGCAUGAGCAAGCACAUGGCCUCCUGCUGGUUUUUUUGGAUCUGAUAUGAACACUCCUCCACCUGGGUCAGCAAUAACUUGGUUAGUCAUGUAAACUGCAACAUUGAAUUCCUCAGCUAUCUUUAUCAAUCUGGAGAGCAUCUGUGCUAACUUUUGCUGGCGCUCUGCAAGUUCUCCUCUACCAGUGAAAUCCACUCGAAAGAGAGCAAUUACGGAAUCCACAAUCAGAAGUCUGAAUGGCUCUUCAGACAUUUUUGCAGCCAGACCAAGAAGCAGGUUGUACUGAUGUUCAUAUGUAUAUGCACGAGCAUAAAUGAUAUUGUCAAGGACUGCUCCUGGGUCCAUGCCAAAUCUUUCAGCUAUUGGAAUAAUCCUAUCUGGUCGGCUGGAAGUGCCCCUAGUUAAGAAGAAAACAGACUGCAACACACAUCAAAUGAAGAUAAUUCCUUGUAACUUUUUCAAGAAAAAAGAAACAUUAAAUAUUGCCAGUCUAGAUGUUAAGAAGGAUGGCAAAAGUGAGGAUACAAAGUUCCUUCGGUAUCAACAUAAGCAACCUUUCCAUUCCCACCUCGCAUGUUGGUAGGAAGCUGCACAGGCAAUAGAAAUGUUUAUUUUGCAAGGUUUGUUGCAAUAUUUUUUCUGCUACAUAAUCAACCAUGUAAACCAAGGCUAAUGCCAUUGCCACCUACGAUAGCCUCAUAUCUUUUCUAUAUUCUGAUGGAAGGAUUACUGAACCAGAAAAAGCAAGAACUGGAAUGCAACGUCAAAGUCAUUUAAUUGACUAAUAAUACAAGACAAUUAUACUACAAGAUCCACAUUUUUAGUAAAUCAGUUAUCCACUCUUUUCUUUUUGCUUUUUCUUUUUCAAUUGUCAUGGAUAAUAAUAAUACAUUAGUUUGUCAAAAUUUCUUCCAUUUUCUGUCCAUGCUCAGAAUAUCACUCUAUCCUGUACAACAGAUCCAAGUAUUAAAUCAUGCUAUAAUUGACAGGCACUAAUGAGCUGGGUAGGAGAAAAACCUGUGUAGAGACACACAGAGUAUGAGCAAGCUGUGUUUUCCCAGAUCUGAAGUAAUAAUUGAAUUGUAAGUAAAGACUUUAUGCAUGUGCUUUUAUGAUAAAAUGGCAAAAAGCUAUCAAUGUAAACAACGACUGUAUGUAGAAAUGCAAGUUUCUCACCGGAAUUCUCCAAAAGCUUCUGUAAUAGCCAGAGUUUCAAUCCCACCUUUAUUAAUCAAUCGCAAAAGCAGUGUCAAUUGCACAGAAGUAAACUAUACUACUACACUUGCAGAGAUAGUGUUAGAGUAACUAAGAGUGCAAAAUGACCUCCUAAUAGUUCAUCAAGGGCUUGGCUUCCUGUCGUGAUGCGAAUCACUGACUUCCUCUGUCAGCAUAAACAGAAAUCAUAUCUCAGGUUUGUCAAGAAAUGAAGCUACUCUCAACAGCUUUGAAACUUCCAAUUGUUCUUAUGGCAGCAAAUGGAGUUCAAAUAUUAGGGUCAUUCAAUCGGAUAUGAUCUCUCUAUAAAUUCAAAAGGAGCAAAAAGAAUAUAGAACUUACUCUGAGCAAAGCAUCACUUCCAGUUAUAUAACCAAAAUUCUGAGAAUGAGAAGGAGAUAUAAAAGGGAAUUAAAGAAGGAUAAAGCUACAGAAAGCAAUAAAAGUUUAUACACAGACUAUCAUUUUAUUUCCUAUAAUUUGAGCAUUAAAGCACUGAUUAUCAUUUUGGCCAUCAUGUAAUUUGGGCGCUAACCACUAUCUUCUCAGCAGCUUCGCAGAUCUUAUCAACUUUAGCCUCAGAUAAUCCUUUGAUCCCUGUCAGGUGCUUCUUCGUGUGCAUCAUCAAGCCAUUACAGGUGUAGAUCCCUGCAUCCUGAAGCUUCUUUAUAUCUCCUGCAUUGAUUCCUUGUGCGAUUAACUUGUCAAUGGCUUCGAACAAGUCCUCUUCGUCAUCAAUGUCUUCUCGUUCCACAAGCUGCAACUGAUUUUGAUCUUCGGCUUUGAGAGUAGCUAUCAUCUUGGAUUCCAGUAGAGAAAAUCCUAGCACUUCAUUUCCACUUUCCACCAGAGAAAAUUUCGGUGUUUGCUUUGAGAGAGAGGGGAAGAAAUGUUUAAAAUUGAAGUCUCAAAU